rnacentral:rRNA from 1 species
ACCUACGGGACGCAGCAGUAGGGAAUCUUCCACAAUGGACGAAAGUCUGAUGGAGCAACGCCGCGUGAGUGAAGAAGGGUUUCGGCUCGUAAAGCUCUGUUGGUAGUGAAGAAAGAUAGAGGUAGUAACUGGCCUUUAUUUGACGGUAAUUACUUAGAAAGUCACGGCUAACUACGUGCCAGCAGCCGCGGUAAUACGUAGGUGGCAAGCGUUGUCCGGAUUUAUUGGGCGUAAAGCGAGGGGAGGCGGGUCAAUAA